GUGGGGAAUAUUGGACAAUGGGCGCAAGCCUGAUCCAGCAAUGCCGCGUGGAUGAAGAAGGUUUUCGGAUUGUAAAGUCCUUUCGGCGGGGACGAUGAUGACGGUACCCGCAGAAGAAGCCCCGGCUAACUUCGUGCCAGCAGCCGCGGUAAUACGAAGGGGGCUAGCGUUGCUCGGAAUGACUGGGCGUAAAGGGCGCGUAGGCGGAUUGUCUUGUCGGGCGUGAAAUUCCAGGGCUCAACCUUGGGUGGUCGUUCGAGACGGGCAAUCUUGAGUGAGGCAGAGGGUCGUGGAAUUCCCAGUGUAGAGGUGAAAUUCGUAGAUAUUGGGAAGAACACCGGUGGCGAAGGCGGCGACCUGGUCCUUUACUGACGCUGAGGCGCGAAAGCGUGGGGAGCAAACAGG
rnacentral:rRNA from 1 species